UAUGCGAGUGCACGGAUGGAUGUGUUUUCAUCGUGAUUUAACGACUCUGUCAGGCCUCAGCGAUGUCGAAAAAUAACUGCUGCGUUGUCGGCUCCUCAAACACACCGAAAAAAUUGCCAGGAACGCACUUCUACAGGUUUCCAGUGCUAUUUCAUGAGCGAGAGCGACGGCGGCGGUGGACUGCGGCUUACAACGUAGAAGAGAGGAUGGGAGCCCCUGGGAACCCACAAAGAACUCCAGGACCUGCAGUCAGCAUUUUAUCAACGGCGAAAGAUCAAAUGAUCCGAGAAGUCCAGCUUAUGUGCCAACUAUAUUUCCAAGCGCGUAUGGACGUACUAAGCAUGGCACUUCCAAGAGGUACCAAAGGUUGCGGGCACGAGAGCAAAGGGUGGACAGCAUUACAGACGUGCAGGCUCUGGAAGAUUUCAUGAUCGACUGCACCUCAGAGGAAGAAAAGGUAAGUGUAUGUUGGAUCACAAACGGACCCUUGUGACAGGAGAGCACAGUCUGAAACACCAAGCCUGUUCCUUUGCUGUAUGCAAGGCUGCAAUGCCGAAACACAAGUAAAAGACUGCUUAUUUCUUAUUGCGGCACACUGCAUGAUCUAACUGAGGCACAGGGCUUGGAUGCCUCAUCAGACACGAAAAUUGACCUUCGGUGGCGUCAACAUGAGCGAUGCCAA
rnacentral:lncRNA from 1 species